rnacentral:rRNA from 1 species
AGAGUUUGAUCCUGGCUCAGGAUGAACGCUGGCGGCGUGCCUAACACAUGCAAGUCGAACGGGGUGGAAACACCUAGUGGCGGACGGGUGAGUAACGCGUGAGAAUCUGCCUUCAGGACGGGGACAACAGCGGGAAACUGCUGCUAAUACCCGAUGUGCCGCAAGGUGAAAGAAAUUCGCCUGAAGAGGAGCUCGCGUCAGAUUAGCUAGUUGGUAGGGUAAGAGCCUACCAAGGCGACGAUCUGUAGCUGGUCUGAGAGGAUGAGCAGCCACACUGGGACUGAGACACGGCCCAGACUCCUACGGGAGGCAGCAGUGGGGAAUUUUCCGCAAUGGGCGAAAGCCUGACGGAGCAACGCCGCGUGAGGGAGGAAGGCCUUUGGGUUGUAAACCUCUUUUGCUCGGGAAGAAGGCAGUGACGGUACCGAGCGAAUCAGCCUCGGCUAACUCCGUGCCAGCAGCCGCGGUAAUACGGAGGAGGCAAGCGUUAUCCGGAAUCAUUGGGCGUAAAGAGUCCGUAGGUGGCAACGCAAGUCGGCGGUCAAAGACCGGAGCUUAACUCCGGAGCGGCCGUGGAAACUGCGUAGCUAGAGUCCGGUAGGGGUAGCGGGAAUUCCCAGUGUAGCGGUGAAAUGCGUAGAGAUGGGAAGAACAUCGGUGGCGAAAGCGCGCUACUGGGCCGGACUGACACUGAGGGACGAAGCUAGGGAGGAAGGAUAGAUACCCUGUAGUCUAGCUGUAACAUGGAACUAGCGUGCUGUUCGACCGAGCGUGCGAACUACGCGUAGUUUGC